ensembl:lncRNA
UUGAUUGGUAAUUUAUUUCAACAUGUGAACAAUAUACAAGUACAUUUAGAAAAGAAAAUAAGAAAGAAAAAAUACUAUACAAAUUACAUACAAAAAAAAAACGUUCUGAUUAAUUUACAUGUUGAAAGGGAGUGGGAAGAAGUAAACACUCCCACCCCUUUGCCAUAAAUUAACAGUUAAUAUUUAGUCAGCUUCCUUACUGAUAUAAUUUGUAAUGAAAAUAGUGAACAGAUUUCUGAUAUACUAUAUACUAUAAUAUCGCAUCAUGAGGGUUUUUUUGUUUGUUUGUUUGUUUUUUAAAUAGAGACAUUCACUUAAUUUAAAUAUUUUUGUUUUCUUUAUAGUUCGAGAAGAUCAUAUUUUUAUAACUCUUUUUGAACUGUUUUAUGUUUGGACAUUGCUUUAACUCCAUAUUCAGACUGUUCCACAGUUUCACUCCAUGAACAGAAACACAAAAGCCUUUUCUUGUAGUACGUACCUUCAUUGUUUUGAAGUUACAAAAACCCCUUAAAUUAUAACUUCCUUCUUUCAGAAAAAACAUACUCUGAAUAUUACCUGGCAGUUCUUUAUUUUUUGCUUUGAAUAGAAUUUGUGCUGUUUGGAAUUUCACUAGAUCAUCAAUUUUCAAUAUUUCAGACUGCAAAAAUAGUGAGUUUGUAUGUUCCUGUAACCUGCAUUGUGGAUGAUUCGAAUUGCUUUUUUUUUUGAAGAGUAAAAAAUGAAUGUAAUGUGGUUUUAUAGUUGUUGCCCCAGACCUCUGCACAAUAGCUUAAGUAUGGUGAAACCAGUGAACAGUAGAGAAUAUGAAGUGAUGUUCUGUCGAAUACCUGCUUUGCCUUGUUUAUAUUGCAAUGCUACGUGAUACUUUGGAAUGAAUAUAUCUUACGUGAGCUCUGCAGUUACCAUAAAGUUCCAGUUUUCUUAUUAACAUAUCAUGAUCUGUAGUGUCAAAGGCCUUUGUCAAGUCUAUGAAUAACCCAGCCACAUAUUGCUUUUUGUCUAUGGAAU